rnacentral:rRNA from 1 species
AAAAAUAACGAAGAGUUUGAUCCUGGCUUAGAACUAACGCUGGCAGUGCGUCUUAAGCAUGCAAGUCAGACGGAAUGUAGUAAUACAUUCAGUGGCGAACGGGUGAGUAACGCGUGGAUAAUCUACCUACGAGAUGGGGAUAACUAUUAGAAAUAGUAGCUAAUACCGAAUAAAGUCAAUUAAGAUGUUAGUUGAUGAAAGGAAGCCUUUAAAGCUUCGCUUGUAGAUGAGUCUGCGUCUUAUUAGCUAGUUGGUGGGAUAAGAGCCUACCAAGGCUAUGAUAAGUAACCGGCCUGAGAGGGUGAUCGGUCACACUGGAACUGAGAUACGGUCCAGACUCCUACGGGAGGCAGCAGCUAAGAAUCUUCCGCAAUGGGCGAAAGCCUGACGGAGCGACACUGCGUGAACGAAGAAGGUCGAAAGAUUGUAAAGUUCUUUUAUAAGUGAGGAAUAAGCUUUGUAGGAAAUGACAAAGCGAUGACGUUAAUUUAUGAAUAAGCCCCGGCUAAUUACGUGCCAGCAGCCGCGGUAAUACGUAAGGGGCGAGCGUUGUUCGGGAUCAUUGGGCGUAAAGGGUGAGUAGGCGGAUAUGCAAGUCUAUGUGUAAAAUACCACAGCUCAACUGUGGAACUAUGCUGGAAACUGCAUGACUAGAGUCUGAUAGGGGAAGUUAGAAUUCCUGGUGUAAGGGUGGAAUCUGUUGAUAUCAGGAAGAAUACCAGAGGCGAAGGCGAACUUCUAGGUCAAGACUGACGCUGAGUCACGAAAGCGUAGGGAGCAAACAGGAUUAGAUACCCUGGUAGUCUACGCUGUAAACGAUGCACACUUGGUGUUAAUCGAAAGGUUAGUACCGAAGCUAACGUGUUAAGUGUGCCGCCUGGGGAGUAUGUUCGCAAGAAUGAAACUCAAAGGAAUUGACGGGGGCCCGCACAAGCGGUGGAGCAUGUGGUUUAAUUCGAUGAUACGCGAGGAACCUUACCAGGGCUUGACAUAUACAGGAUAUAGUUAGAGAUAACUAUUCCCCGUUUGGGGUCUGUAUACAGGUGCUGCAUGGUUGUCGUCAGCUCGUGCCGUGAGGUGUUGGGUUAAGUCCCGCAACGAGCGCAACCCUUGUUGUCUGUUACCAGCAUGUAAAGAUGGGGACUCAGACGAGACUGCCGGUGAUAAGCCGGAGGAAGGUGAGGAUGACGUCAAAUCAUCAUGGCCCUUAUGUCCUGGGCUACACACGUGCUACAAUGGCCUGUACAAAGCGAUGCGAAACAGUGAUGUGAAGCAAAACGCAGAAAGCAGGUCUCAGUCCAGAUUGAAGUCUGAAACUCGGCUUCAUGAAGUUGGAAUCGCUAGUAAUCGUAUAUCAGAAUGAUACGGUGAAUACGUUCUCGGGCCUUGUACACACCGCCCGUCACACCACCCGAGUUGAAGAUACCCGAAGCUAUUAUUCUAACCCGCAAGGGAGGAAGGUAUCUAAGGUAUGUUUAGUGAGGGGGGUGAAGUCGUAACAAGGUAGCCGUACUGGAAAGUGUGGCUGGAUCACCUCCUUUCUA